rnacentral:lncRNA from 1 species
GUGAAGCUUGCUUCGUUAAUUGCCACGUGUGCCCCAUGCCGGAAGCACACUUGACUAAGGUUUCCUUUCCUCUAGUCCUGAAAGUGGAGCACCAAAUCCCAUGUCUGGCAAUGAGAGAAAACUAAGAUUGCCAAGGAGCAACAAGGGCCACGUGGAAGCUAACAGCAUGACUACGUGAUGGGGAAUGGGGGAAUCACUGGAAAAUGAUGGUAAUGUAGAAAAGAGCAUCAACAAAGCAAUUAAAAAGAAAGAAGUAUAAAGAUGGGGAAAAAUAAGAUUCAAAGAGCCCCCGUCUACAGCUGGAAGGGACCUCAGAGGUUCUAGAGUUCAGCCCGGCAUUACAGAGACGAGGAAAGCGGAGGCCAAGGGAAGUGAACACGGGUCAUACAAAAGAGGAUCAGAGGUGGAAUUUGAACUCGGAUUCUCUGACUCCAGAGCCAGUUCGCUUUCCGUUGGAUCACGAGACUUGAAAUUUCUGAAUCCUGGGACUGAGUCCCUUGAAAGAUAUGUUAAAGAAAGGACAUCAGAGACGCGCCUAGCCCAAGGGCUCAUGUGACAGGUGAAGGAAGUGACCGCCUGAGAGAGGAAAUGACGUGCCGGAGUCACGUGUCUAGCAAGGAGCAGAGCCUCUAUUCAAACUCGGGGCUCACCUCUCCGGCCACUGAUUUUGCGGUCCUCUCGAGCAAACUCUGAAGCGUUCUAGCUCCCUGCUGGAGGCUCGUCGAGUUCAUGCCUUGCUUCUGCUGGUGACCCGCCCUGGGACCUCAGGCAAGUCCCUUAACACGUGCCAACCUCAAUUUCUUCUUCUAUAAAGUAGGGAUAGCAAGGAUAGCACCUACCUCCCAGGGCUGCUGUAAGGAUCCAAUCAGAUUGUAUCUAUAAAAUGUUUCUUAAACCAAACCUUAGAGUGCUAUUUAAAUGUUAGCUAUAUUAAUAGCUAUAAUUGUAAUAGAAUAUUUUGAAAAUCCAACUUAGGUGUCCUUGUCCUUUAAUUGUCUUAGAUAGGGGAGCAGCUGAGUGGCUCAGUAGAUUGAGAGCCAGGCCUGGAGCCAGGAGAUCCUGGGUUCAAAUUAAACAGCAGAUACUUCCUAGCUGUGUGACCCUGGGCAAGUCACUUGACUCCCAUUGUCUAGCCCUUACUGCUCUUCUGCCUUUGAACCAAUACAUGGUAUUGAUUCUAAGACAGAAGGUAAGGGUUUAAGAAAAAAGAAUAAAUUGUUCAUGCUCACCUCA